CACAACGAUAACUGAACCCCAUGUUUACCGCAGCAUUAUUUACGAUAGCUAAGAUAUGGCAACAACCGAAGUGUCCACGGAUGGAUCCACGGAUAAAAAAGAUGUAUAUAAUGGAAUCUUUUUUGGCGACGAGAAAGAGGGAAACCUCGCCAUUGUGUGACAUCGUGGAUGGACAUUGAUGACAUUGUUCUCAGGGAGAUACAUCCUAAUCUCCUGGAAGGACUCAUCUGAUCGGGUCAGGCCCAGUUGUUGAAAAAACAUAAAAUAAUAGCGAGCAAAUGAAAUGACAAAUAGGACAAAAGACUGAAUUUUGGAAUGAUAUUUGCACCGUACUUUUUGGCAGAAGAUAACUGAUAGACCGACCUGCCUAGAAGUGAGACGAAGGUAGCCUGGUCAAACUCUGGUCCUAAACACAAAACCAAGAUGGCACAGAAGAAUCGUUCGUAACAUGUGGGACGGUGGUUGCUUCUCUA